CAGAUUUGAAUAAGGAACUGAGCGAAUAAGGAAACAGACAAAAAAGGAACUGCGAAUAAGGAACCAACUUCACGCUGGUUGUUAAAACAAGUUCUGUUUCUUUCCUGACCUUACCUCUUGCAUUUCUAACUGCAAAAUCGCUACUUGACGGCGCAGGGAAACCACUUCGUCACGAGUUUCGUUUCACAUAAGUGAAUCGAUUAAUACAGCCAUUAUUUUGAAACAUACAAAUGUUGAUACGCUGAACCUGUCUCUCUGUUCUUUUUCAGAUGUUUCAUAAAUAUUAUAGUUGUGUUUUAGUUAAAUCUCGUAUACAUAAGUACAUAUUGUAGGUGGUGAUCUGUCAUAUUUGUAAAAGUUUCAAAGUUUAGAUGUUACCCCUUUUAUAGUUAAAAUAUCAAUUUUGCACAACAAUUUUCAAUGAAAGAUACUGUACAUGACAGGUGUACUAUUUUGAAAUCCAGGAGUACAAGCAUAAAGUCCUAUUAGCAGACUCUGCCAUAGCAGACUAUAUAAUUUGCAGAUACCAGAUGAAUGUAUAGAUGCUACGUACACUAAUUGUAGACACACUGAAGAGAAGAACAACAACAAGAUAAAAAGAGGUGAUGCAGCUGUAGGCGGCAGCAGUGGUGGGGCCAAGCAGUUUGUCUUCCACAUAUAUUGAUUUCCAUAUUUAGGGGAGUGCUUUAGGUGCCUCCUCUAAAUAUGGAAAUUAAUUGUUACGUGGUAGACAAACUGUUGUCUCUUUAUUAAUACAUGUUUAACAUUUAUUAUUUUAUAUAAUACACCUAUUUCAAAUGAGGUUACAAUACCAAUGUCACAAACUGCAGUGCUUCAAAGAUAUCAAAUGAGCCAACAAAUAAGCAUAGAUCAAAGCCUACCCAUGUUUCUUUUUGUGUGUCUUUUGAAUGAACCAAUCAGUGUUACCGCACAUUGAUCCUCCAAUGCAAUACCUUGUUUGAAAUAGGUGUAUAAUAUAUAUUUCAAAAAUAUCCUAAGCCGUUAUAUUUUAUUAUUCUUGAUCUAAAUAACCAAUAGGUUCUCAUGACAAUACAAUAUUUUAUUAGGUUGUGCAUGAUUUUUCAUUGCCAAAUUAUCAAUGAUAAGACACAAGCAUAAUUUUAUACAUGAAUACUUUUCGAAUGAACCAUUUUAUUUUUUUAUGUCAUUGCGAUAUUUAUAUUGUGGUGUGCACAAUUUUUCAUUGCCAAAUUAUAAAGGAUAGGACACAAGCCUAACUUUAGAAAUGAAUAAUUUUGAAUGAACCAUUUUAAUUUCCUGUGUCAAUACAAUAUUUCUAUUAUGGCUUGCACAAUUUUUCACAACCAAAUUAUAUGUGAUAAGACACCAGCCUAAAUAAAUGCUUUUAAAUUAAAAGCCAUUUCUUAAUAAUUCAGAAUAACACCUUUUUAACACCAUGCAUUUUUCCUACUUACGUGUAUACACCACUUUCCUACUAAAAGCAAUCCCAUACUGCUGGAUCUCAGCUUAGACUUUUUCAUGUCAAAUAAUGGUGCAUUUGUACAAUGAUAAUAAAAACAAGCAUUCUCUAAAAGGCACCUAUUUGUUAAUAAAAGUAUUUAUUGUCA